rnacentral:rRNA from 1 species
AGUGAACGCUGGCGGCAAGCCUAACACAUGCAAGUCGAACGGCAGCACAAGAGAGCUUGCUCUCUGGGUGGCGAGUGGCGGACGGGUGAGGAAUGCAUCGGAAUCUGCCCAUUUGUGGGGGAUAACCUCGGGAAACCGGGACUAAUACCGCAUACGACCUACGGGUGAAAGCAGGGGAUCUUCGGACCUUGCGCAGAUGGAUGAGCCGAUGCCGGAUUAGCUAGUUGGAGGGGUAAAGGCCCACCAAGGCGACGAUCCGUAGCUGGUCUGAGAGGAUGAUCAGCCACACUGGGACUGAGACACGGCCCAGACUCCUACGGGAGGCAGCAGUGGGGAAUAUUGGACAAUGGGCGCAAGCCUGAUCCAGCCAUGCCGCGUGUGUGAAGAAGGCCUUCGGGUUGUAAAGCACUUUUGUUGGGAAAGAAAAGCAGCCGGUUAAUACCCGGUUGUCAUGACGGUACCCAAAGAAUAAGCACCGGCUAACUUCGUG